rnacentral:rRNA from 1 species
UACGGAGGGUGCAAGCGUUAAUCGGAAUUACUGGGCGUAAAGCGCGCGUAGGUGGUUUGUUAAGCGGAAUGUGAAAGCCCCGGGCUCAACCUGGGAACUGCAUUGCGAACUGGCAGACUAGAGUACAGUAGAGGGUAGUGGAAUUUCCUGUGUAGCGGUGAAAUGCGUAGAGAUGGGAAGGAACAUCAGUGGCGAAGGCGACUGCCUGGACUGAUACUGACACUGAGGUGCGAAAGCGUGGGGAGCAAACAGGAUUAGAUACCCCGGUAGUCC